rnacentral:misc_RNA from 1 species
AAGUCGUAACAAGGUUUCCGUAGGUGAACCUGCGGAAGGAUCAUUACCGAGUGAGGGCGCCCUCGGCGCCCGGACCUCUCAACCCUUUGUGUGACCUGUUCACCUCUGUUCGCCGGUCGGGGCCGGCACCGGCCUGCACCGGCCGCGGGCCCCCGGUGGACCACUCAUAAACACUGCAUCAAUGCGUCGGAGUGAUUUGAAGCAAAUUCAAUCAAAA